rnacentral:misc_RNA from 1 species
GAAAUGCGAUACGCAAUGCGAAUUGCAGAAUUCCGCGAGUCAUCAGAUCUUUGAACGCAACUUGCGCUGAAGGGAUAUCCCUUCAGCAUGCUUGUUUCAGUGUCUAGAAACUUCAAAUAACUUAAUGUGAUUGAGUUUGUCUAGCGACAGUCUCUCUCAUGAAAUAUGUGAAUGUGGAUCUUUUGAUCCAGCGAAGUAGUCACAUUUCAUAUGUGAUUUCGUUGGUAUUUCAAAUUAUCCGAAAACAUCUGCAAUAAAACAAAAUCUUCAAUAUGCAUCUGAAAUCAAGCAAGAUUACCCGCUGAACUUAA